rnacentral:tRNA from 1 species
GUGACUAUCGUUCAAUGGUAGGACAGCGGUUUGUGGUACCGCUAACGAGGGUUCGAUUCCCUCUAGUCACCCCA